rnacentral:lncRNA from 1 species
GAUGGAGACUGAUAACUUUCUUUACAGCAGUGAAUGGAAUAAUUUCCCAUCAACAUCAAGUUAUUUACCUGAAAUUCUACAUUUUUCUCUUUCAUAAAUACUCCAGUUUUAACUGACAUCACUAUUAAAGGUUGCAAAAUAAUAUCCUUAGAGCUGAGCCACUCCUGAAAUGCAAGUCAAAAACCCUGGACAAUUUUACAGUGAAAGAAAAGAAGUUCCACAUUGUCAAUAUCCUUUUCACAAAAUCCACACGAGUUGUUUCCCAAAUAAAUUGCAAAAGAAUUGAGGGUGUUAAAUAAGUUCUAUGAGCAAAGUUGAAGUGUAUUAAUUGAUGAUUUAGGUUUCAGGAUAUCAUGUUAAUGUUUCUCCAAACUUUUUCUCAGUCAAUAUGUUGACAGCCUAAUUCAGUAUUUCGUGCUUCCAUGUAUAAAGGUGAUUUAGUUCUGUUCAAGAGAACUUGGUAUCUUGCAGAAAUUUGUCCUUUUGGGAGACCUAUGAAUUAAUUUGUAAAAUUGAUUAACAGAUGUAUUGGCAGUUGGAACCACAGAUCCCCAUAUGCUUUCAUUGCUGAUCUCAGUUGUAAUUAUGUACAGAAAAAAGAGAAAACCCUGUUACUUGAAACUCAUAUUUUAAAACAGAAAAAAGUCUUCAGGCCAUUUACAUCUAUGACAUCGCCUACUGUAUGUUAUCCAGAAUUUUUCCUCUGAGGAACGUAUUUCAUACUUACGCCAAAUUGAAACCGCAGUUGCAGUUAUUGGACCAUCACACACUCUUGACUGUUCAGCUGAAAUUUUCAUAAAUAGUAUGUCCUGUAAGGAAUUGGGUGCAACAGUAUCUUUCUCAAUUCUUACUCAGGGCAUGUUUGAAUCCAAGUCAAACCAAUUUGAUCAGGAGCAAAACGUCAAUGAUUGAAAAUAAAGUUUGAAGUUUGGAACAGCAAGUCCACCAGAUUGUUUUUCAUUCUGCAUUAUUUUGGGUUUCACACAAGCUUGUUUAUCUUUCUAUGAUACUUUUGUUAUGUUUCUAUGUAAUUUUUCCCAGUACCCACAGGGUGGAGCAAUAGGAAUCAUUUAGCAACAGAAAUGUAUUCUGGGCAAUAUGCUCAUUUUGAUGGUCAAUACUCCUCAAUACUUUUUUUCAAUAGAAGGGAAAAUAUCGAUACCUAAAUAUUUUAAAUAUCAAAAGGAUUUCUUUGGAGUUAUAACACAAGGAGGGAUUCCUCAGAAACAUGGAAGAUUAGGACCAGUUUAUUUUAUAAUUUAAGAUGGAAUCAAAUUUUGUAAAAAUAGUAAAAACAGAAUGAGAAGUAUCAUUCGGGUAUGCCAAGAUGACAUCAGCUUAAAGAGAGAUAUGAUGAUCAGUAGAGUUAAUGGUCAUAUGUUUGACCAUUUGAGAUUGACGGAGAUUCGUGCUAAUAGCUCCAUUGAUAGGAUAAACAACAAUGGUGAUAAUGGAUCACCUUGCCUGCUCCCUCGUGUGAUUUUGAAUGAUGGAGAACUAAUGUUUCCAGUAAUGACGCUGGCUGAUGGAUUUGCAAAUACAAUGGUAACCAAGUUUAUACAUCUUUCACCUAUGCCCAUAUAUUCUAAAAUGCACCAAAGGUAUCGCCACUUUGGGUGAUCGAAAGCCUUCUCAGCAUCAAUAGAAAUAACAGAUAAAGAGAGACUUGAGUUAGUGGAUGAAUAAACAAUACAGUUGUAGAUUGGAUAUUAAUUGAUUUGGGAUCUGUAAGAAACUCCAUGUCUCAUGAUUUUAAAGUGUCCAUACUUGCAGGAUAGUUACAAUUGCAUAAUUUAUUGGCCAAAAACUGACUCGGUCAAUUUCCAUGAAAACAGUAAUUGAGUCUAGCUGUAUGAAAAGCAAAUUCAGCUCUUUUUCUAAUGAAUGUAUUAAGCUCAGUCUUAAUCUUUACAAGUGUGGAGGACACAUCCUGGGAGUAAUUAUUUUGAUGAGAGAGUUCUAAGACAUGUUCUAAGAUGAUUUUCCAACUCAGAUAUCUUUUCCAACUGUAAUAUAUUAAGACCUGAAGCAAAAGAUGUUGGAUUCUUCCCAAUACAGCCUUUAGUUGCAUCUGAAAAUAUCCAAAAUCAUCCACAGAGUUUUUAAUUAAUUGCUAGGGAGUGAUUUAUUUAUUCUGGGUCAUCUACUAUAUAUAUAAAAGAGUUUUAAAGUCUGAUGGCUGCGGAUACCAAAGAACUUCUGAACCUUUCUGUCCGGCAAUGAAAAGAGAGGAGCCGUCCACCACCAUUGGCCUUUUGGUCCAUUAAGGUGUUUAUGAAGUGGGUAAUCCAUGUUCCUUAGAGCAACUUCACAUAAAAAAAUCUUAACAUCUCAAGAGAUGUAGUUACCUUUCUGCAGAAAAAUUCAACCUUUCCCCUCCAGGAGAGUUCAUGAUCAAUCUGGAUACCCCAAAAAAACAUGUUGAUGAUACCGAUUGUGACAAUGGGAAGUUUUUAUUGCUCACUAGAAUAUUUCUUAUUUCCUGCAAAUAAAAUUACUUUUUGUUUUUGAAUUUUAGAGAUAAUUUGUUUGACUGAAACCAAGUAUCAUAAUAGGAAAGGUCUUUAUUUGUUUCUCUAAUUAGAGUUGCAAAGUCUCUCUUGGAGGUAAAAAGGUUGGUAUCAUCUGCAAAGAGCAAAGGGACUGUAGUUUUUUAUAGUGAAACAAUAUUAUUAGUGUAAAUCAAAAACAAUAAUGGCUCUAAUACGGAUCCUUAAGGUACUCCAUACUUUCUCGUUGACACUUCACCAUUAAUAAAUGCAUAUUGUGUUCUAUUAUGAACAAAAUGUUUAAACCACUUAUGGACAUUACCCUGGAAACCUUUCAGCCAGAAGAAGCUGCCUAACCCCAGUGAAUUUGAAGCCUCUGAACUUCUUCACAUAGCACAUUUUCCUUUAAUCCCAGGAUGAAAAUAAGAACAUUGUAGGAGUUCUGAGAUCCCCAGGAACACAAUGAUGUGUUUUUCAUGUCUGUACUCUAAAAAUAUGAGGCCACAACAGCAAGUUAAACAGUGUUGACCCUGAGUGAUGAUCACAAUUUUCUUGCCCAAAAAUUCCAUUACGGUCAAUGGGCAGAAUCGCGGCCUGCUUAGACAGUUGGUCACUGACUGGCCAAGGGGUAUGACUUAAUGAUUUGAAACCUCUUUCGUGAGAAGCAGGACUUAUUUACCUCCAUUUAGAUGUAUUUUUUUAUGGCUGUGGAGUAAAAUUUGUGGGCAAGGAAGCUUAUAUUUGAGCUAGGUUUUGUCGAUCAAAAAAGGUCUCUCCACUCUUGCGAUGACAUCACCCACUGUAGCUGUCACAGCCACAUUAUAAGCCUGAAAUUUGCUGAAAACCAUGAGGUGCUCAGAGCUAAAUUGUGGAAAAACUGUAGAAGAUAGCACAAAAAAGUUAAUACAAGGAGAAGAUUGUGAACAUUUUAAAGCAAAAAUGAGGCCUGAGAUAUGAGAGAGAUAUGAGGCUGAGAAGGUGAAAGAGUAAAAGGUAGAAUUUGAAGAUUUCCCCAUUUAUUUAAUAGGAAAAAAUUUGCACAAAAAGUAAAAAAAUAUCCAAAAGUAUAAAAAGUAGGAAGGAGAAAAAUACAUCCGCACUUGUUCUGAAGGAGAGGAAUAGUUUAAGAGCUGAAUGGUUGAAACAGCACAAAGUGGGAAGGAGUUAGAAAGUGCCAAAAAGGUUCGCAAUAAUAAUAAUAAUAAUAAUAAUAAUAAUAAUAAUAAUAAUAAUAAUAAUAAUAAUAAUAAUAGAUAAAUAAAUAAAUAGGAGAAUAACAAGAAGUGGAAAUGCUUAAUCAGCAUUUCCACUUAAUAAUUACUGUCCCCACUUUAAUAUUUAUUACAUUACCUCUGACUGCAAGGCCAUGAGAUUAGCGUCUCCAUUUAGAACAGUUGAAUUAAAUCUGGCUUAUUCUGUGAGGAUUCAUCCACUCUAGUCCCCUGAGUUAUUUUCUUUUCAAAAGUUAUAGUAAAUUGAAAUGAUGAUGAUGAACCACGUCUCCGUCUUUCAGUUGUUGAACUCGUGCUGCCUUGUGUUUUGUAGAGGUUGAUGUAAUACACAUUCUGGGGUGACAGUCCCUAGGUGGCGUUGUCGCACCAGUUGUCACUUCUGGUUGCCUUCACUGAAACUCUCCUCACUGAUCUUUCCUCCUCCUGCGACACCAGCAAGAAAUGUUUUGCCAUUAUCAGAUUAAGUAAGUAAACUCCACACGGAUCAGUGCCACGGUGGAAUAGAGUUUUUGAUCCCUGACCUAUUUUCGUCAGAUCACUAUCGCCAGAUUAUGCAACGCUCCAGUGCCAGAGAACCGAGCGAACCAAAACUAUAAACCGUAUAUGGGGGGUAAAUCCCAUCUGAUUCUCGUCAGCUAAUAAAAAUAACAGCUCUAAUCCACCAGACAGCCCAUGGGCGUGUGCCGAAGUUGACAGAGCAUUUAUUGUCAGGACACUUCCGCAUAUGACGCAGUUUACCACUUCUGGGACGUCUCGUGGGUCGUGAACUUUUAAGACAGGUAGGUGUCUGAUACAUUUCCGCGAUACUGUGAUUUGGUUGAAUGUGUCAGUGGUAUAAGUUAUAACCAAUAUUAAUCACAGCUUUAAGAGGACAAUUGGUAGAGAUAACGGACACUCCUCCAUCAAUAAUCCUAAAUUUAGGAGAAAAAAAAUGCGAAAAAUACGCCCAAGAAAAAAAUGGAACCGCCCCCUCUUAUUUCCCAGAGAGCACGCAUCAUGGAAAUCAGAGAAAAACAGCUGAAAUUGUAAGAUAUAUAAUAGUGAUCAAUAUUAGGGUCGAAAUAAAGAAACUCGAUGGUUUACUUUACUCCAUACUUUCACUUCCUGUUUCCAGUCUUUUAUUCAUUUUGUUUAAUUCUGUUGGCUGUAGAUACAGGAAUUUAUGAAUGUGUGUGGUUUCUACAACAGAAAAUAGAGAAGUGUAUUAAUACAAAUAUAUAACCAUGAAUGCAAACAUUGGUUAAUCACUAUAGACCUACACACACACACACACACACACACACACACACACACACACACACACACACAUGCAUAUAUGUACAAUGUUUGCUUCACUGUGAUUUGUCAGCACAGCACCACUCCAGUCUAGCUUCUCACGUUCUCUUUUUGACAGCAGUUACUUCCUUGACUGUGUGUGAACCAGCAUCAUGGUGAACCAUUGUGGUCUGCUCUCUGCAAGAAAGGAACCAGGUAGAGAGCUUCAAAAUGCUUUUUAUUUAUUUAUUUAUUUUACCAAUACAGAAUCUUUAUUUCCUGUCUUUUAUUCAAACCUUAAAACUAACUUCGACUUUUGUUGCUUUAAACAGAUUUAAAUGAUUUUAACAACAACAACAAUAAAGAAUUAUGUAAAUUUGUUGUAUGUUUUGUUUUCUUUGUUGUUACUUUAUGAGUGUUUGCUGUUGAUGAUCGAUGAUCAUUAUGUUUCUCUUUGUUACUUUGUCAGUUCCCUUAAAGAGUGUGGAGGUGGAGGUGGAGGUGAGGGACCAUGUGGCUACUGUGGUCUCCACUCUCAAUUACGAGAACAAAGAGGACAAACCAUUAGAAGCAGUUUUUGUCUUCCCUCUGCCUGGAGAUGCUGCUGUCUGUCAUUUUAGCGCUACGCUUGGACAGACACAGAUCAUUGCAGAGGUCAAGGAGAAACAAGAGGUGAGCAACACAGUGAGGAUUGACUAUUUACUGUGAGACUAUCAGUAUAAUACUGUAAAAAUUAAGGUGACUCAUGUAAUCUGUACUCUAGGCACGUGAGGACUAUGAUGAUGCUUUAAGCUCUGGUUUGGAAGCCUUUCUGUUGGAGGAGAGUGAGCAAAGUCCGGAUAUAUUCUCCCUGAGUGUAGGCAGUCUUCAACCCGGAGAGAGUGCCUCAAUCAGGCUGGAAUAUGUCACUGAGCUGAAUGUGCAGGCUGAUUCUGGACUGAGGUUUUGUCUGCCUGCUGUGCUUAACCCUCGCUACCAACCUAAGGGUAGGUAAAACGAGCAAAAACACGUGUCAGUAACUUUGAAACUGCAUCUAUAUUGGUGGAUUGGCAUUGCACCUUUUUAUUAGUGCUUGUAAAAGUCAAAUCUUUAAAACUUGAAACUCAGCAAACUAAGAGACAAAGUGGUUGACCACUUUGAGCAGCCCCAUUAAUGACAGCCUUAUUAGGCCAUGAGCCAGGGGGGUUGGUCGGUAUCAACUGAGGGGAAUAAUGCUCAUAGUGAUUUUUGACAUUGUAUACAUGUAUAGAGUUAGAAAAUAUGUGAUAGCAUUGCAGCAGUGGUAGCUAAAUGUGUGCUAUCAUGCAUUUUAUUUUAUAACACUUGGCGAAAAUUACAUGGGUCAAUAUAUAAAAACAUGCAACUUAACCCCCCAAAAAACCUAUAGAAAGGGUUUCUUUUCACCAUACAUCAUUUCUAUAAGGUGUCUAGACUAACAUAAUAUAAGUCCUAUGAAAUCCUUGUUUGAAAAGUAUGUUAAUUUUGCCAGACAACAAUACGCAAAUGAGCUCAAAACUCAUUAAAAUUUGCCCAAAAUACUCCUUUUCCCCUGAACUAUUAUCACAGGGAAACUAUUAUCACAGUGAAAGCACAUUGAAAGAGGGUGAUGGCAAUGCUGCUUUUGGACCGGCCUCUAACCUGAAAACUUGGUUGUACCUACCAGGGGUAUAACCCCGGCCGGCGUAGUCUUCAGGGUCACUGAGGCACACAAGCCUCCCCACCACGACAAGGUAGUAACAAUAGGGGAGGGUGUUUUUUUUGUGUUUUUUUUUUGUGUUUUUGUAUGUUUAUUUUUGCCCGGAUCCUCACCACCUUCUCUACAUGUCAGUUCCUGGCUUGUUCUUUGCUUUGUUCUGGGACAGAGUUAAACCAAGAAAGGUGGUUUUUGUGUAUAUCCCUACGUUUGCCAUUCAGGAAUAGUGUAGGCCUGAAUCUCUCCAAUUCUCAAUUAUACAGAUCAUACUUUUGACCUCUAUACGUUUACAACCUAAUAAUCAAAAUCAUUUUCAUCACUAUCUUUCACGUCAGAUGGAUGGAAAGGCCAAGGACUCUCAGUCAUCUCCUGUUUUAUGACUGAUCUAAUAUGAGAUGAAGUCUGAUCUAUGAUCUUGUUCAAAUUGGUUGACUUGGCCCUCCAAACUUUGAGUUCCCUCUGCAGUGUUUGAUUUUUCAAGACAACAUCCCUUAAUGAUACACUUUGUGGUACGAUCAACAAUUUUCCUUUCUCAUGUGGGAAUAUAUGUACUAUAUUGCCCAGCUCAGAUUCAAGAUUCCUGCAAAUAUUCUUCCUUGUAUAAUCUCGCAAGCAUGUAAUUCCUCUAGACAGCAUUAAUUGUUCAAGUUUCAAGACCAAAGAACUUGCUUGUACAAUGGUCUUAUUGGGUAUGAUAUCAGCUCUGAUAUAUUUGAAAAGAUCAAUAUAGGCUUCCCUUUCAAUGUUUUUAUACAGUUCACCACGAUCUGUUUCCUCAUUUUUCUUUUUGCACACAGGUUCCUUUUUCUUGAUUCGUGUAUAAUCUUUAUAGCAUGACACAUGAUAGUGGGCCUCUGCAGCAACUAUGUCUCUGCUUGUUACUGCUAGAAUAUUUUCAUCCCCUUUUUGAGUUGCACACUCUCUUGAAGUUUGGUCAGCUCUGAGUUGUACAGCUUGUGUAAGCUUUUCACGCAACUUGGAGCCCUUUAAAAACUUCUCAUUCUCAUACAAAAGAUGCAGAUAUGAUCAUACACCCUUGAUGCUGAUGAAGAUCUCCUUCUAGGCCUUUUUGAUACACAGCCGUACUCAACAUCUUCAUCACCAGUAAUGCUUUCCUUGGCUUUCUUUUUCAAUGACUCCAAUUCCCUCUUCAUGGUGAAGAGGCUUUGGCAUUUUCUGUGAUAAUAAAUUGUAGGCACAUCCUUUUCUCUAAUAUUUUUUAGCAAUGUCUAAAAUAGGGGCAUGGUUUCUCACUUUGGCUGCUUCAAGUAAUGUUUCCCAGGAUUUAUAGUCUUGGGGACUAACUAAAUGUUCACCAUCAUCCUUGGACAUUUUAUUGUGUAUGAUGCACUGUUUAAUCGAUUCUGUCUGCUUAGGACUCUCCAUCAUAAAGGAAAGUGAUUCAGCUCCUUGACAUGAAAACACUCUGCUGUUCUCUGAAUUGUGUCUGACAUUAAAAACAGGGAUAUGCCCCUAAUUUGCCUAAAUAGCCUCAAUGAUGAUUAAGGUUAAGACUUGUAUUUUUAACUGAAACAUUUGUCACCCCUCCAAAGGAAGUGGAGAUAGUGCAAGUGGUAACGUCCAAGUAACCUCGUGUCCAGCCUCCUUGGUGCCCUACACCCUGUCCUUCUCUGCCCAAGUGUCGUCUCCUCGUCCUGUCUCCAAAAUAGAGUCCAACUGUUCCCUUGAUCCUCUACAGUACCUCAACUCAGAGCAAACCAAAGCCAUGGUAGGUGGAAUAUUCAUGUGUCUGCUGAUGUUGUUGUCUGCACUGGUAACACUAUGUGUCAUUCAUGUUGUUGUUUGUGUGUCCUGUAAACUAUAGAUCAAGCUGGCUGCAGGGCACAAAUUUGACAGAGAUGUUGAACUUCUGAUUUAUUACAAAGAUGCCCACCAGCCCACUGCGGUGGUGGAGGCAGGCCAGGCUUCUGCUGAGCUUGGUGAGUAGAAAUUUGUGAAGUUCCUAUUUUGCAUUUACAAAUCUUAAUAGCCUAACUCUCUAGUCUAGCAGAUAAAUCACAUAAAUAAAUAGCAAAAGUAAGAUUGGAUGUCUUUGUGGCUCAGGCACUCUGAUGGGUGAUCCAGUAGUGAUGCUGAGUCUGUACCCAGAGUUCCCACAGGCUGUGAUGUCCUCAGUUGCCACAUGUGGAGAGUUUGUGUUCUUAUUGGAUCGCUCUGGUAGUAUGGGUGCAGCUAUGAACCACACCAAUAGAAAUGAGACUCGCAUUAGUAGUGCCAGGGUAUGAAUGUGUAUAUUCUUAUAUAAAACUAUCAGGAAUUUUCUUAUCAGACAGCAGCUUUCAUGAUUAUGUUUUUCCCUGAAGGAUACUCUUCUACUCCUGCUGAAGAGUUUACCAAUGGGCAGCUAUUUCAACAUUUACAGUUUUGGCUCCAGUUUUGAAUCCAUCUUCCCGUAAGUUACUUCUCAAAGGCUGUCCAAUAAAUUUGUCCCUGACUUUGUUGUUAAUUUGAGGACUUUUUUUGAUGUAAUCACAGUAAGAGUGUGGAGUACAACCAGGAGACAAUGGAAAAGGCUUUGAAGAAAGUUGAGGAGAUGCAGGCUAAUCUGGGAGGAACAGAGAUCCUUAAGCCACUUAAACACAUCUACAGCCAGCCCUGCAUUCCCAGUCAACCCAGACAAGUACCACACAUUCACACACAUUCACACAAAACAUGUGAAACAGGUCCAACAUCCCCUGCCAGUAACUAAAGAAAUCAAUUCAGUCACCAGUAAAAGAAUCUUUCUGUUCUGGUUUUACAGUCACCAGUUAGUUUAUUCUCACCACACCUUGUUUCAAACUUGGCACUAAUAACCACUUCAAUGUUGUGGCAUCUAAACAGCCUUCUGAAAACAACGGCUGCAUAUGAUUGUGAUAUAUUUGAAUAACAUGAAAAUUCUCUUCCCUAGCUAUUUGUAUUUACUGACGGAGAAGUGUGGAACACCAAAGAAAUUAUAGACCUGGUAAAGAAGAAUUCACAUGCCCACAGGUGAACUGCCAGAAACUUUGUAAACAACCAGAUUAUUUCACACAACAUAUACAUUGUUCUCCUGCUGCCUGGGGUAAAAGUUAAACAACUCUAUUUCAGAUGUUUCUCUUUUGGGAUUGGAGAAGGGGCCAGCUCCGCUCUCAUCAAUGGGUUGGCCAAGGAAGGAGGAGGUCAUGCUCAGUUCAUUUUAGGAAGUGACAGGAUGCAACCAAAAGUCAGUUCCACAUGAAAUACAAGCAAUCUGUCAUGUUCAACAAUACUUUGGUUUGUUGGAUGGGAGGGGUAAACCUUUUAAAAGUGAUUUAUCUUCACCAGGUGAUGCAGUCACUGAGGUAUGCUCUACACCCAGCUGUGGUGGACAUCUCAGUCACAUGGGAUUUACCAAAAGAUGUGUCCGCCACUGUCCUUUCUCCACCGAUCACAUCACUUUUCCAGGGUCAAAGGUCUCUGAUUUAUGCUGGACUCACUGGACAGGUAGGAAUUGUUACAUAUGAAGAGGAAGUUCUCUGUAUUUUAGUGUAAUAGUGUAAAGAUUUUGGUUUAAAACCAUUUAAACAUUGAUCUCCUUCUCUGCCUCUCAUAAGGGUCCUAAAUCUGUAAAUUCUGUCAGAUUUCAGAGGCAGCUGAAGGCUGUGUGACAGUAAAAUACAGCCUGGCAGGUCAUCCCUCUCAGAACCAGCUUCGCUUCAACCUGAAACCUACAGAGGAUUCUGGGUAAAAAAAUAAUUCAAAACAGCCUUAUGGAGUUUCAUUUCAAUAUUGAGAACAACACUGAAUGAAUGCUAAAACUUAUAUUUUUGAAAAAGGGAAAAUAUUUGGCACCAACAAGUUUCUUCUUAGUCGUUGACACAGAAAAUGAGCUAAGAUGUACACACUGUAACAUGAAAACACAGAAAAACUAAAACAGACUUGAUCUCAGUUGUGUUCCAGUGCAACACGACAUUUGGGCCAUUGUUCAAUCACUGAACAACUGAGGAACAGCAAGAUGUUUUAUGUAUCAUAUUGAGACAAAUCACAUAUAUAGAUAAAGAUAUAGCUGUGUUUGGAGAUCUAACAGAGUGAAAGAAAAACAAAGAAAAACAUCACAAACUCUGAUAGCGCUGAUUUUAGAAGACUGCAGAGUUCAUUACUGUCAAUGUAAUCGUUAAUAUAUCCACAUCCUCUGCACAUCCUUUAACAUGUGAUAUCAAUAUUUUCAGACUAACAGUCCACAGGCUGGCUGCUCGGGCUCUGAUUCGCUGCCUGGAGAUGGAGGACAGAGAGCCCAGACAACAGCAGGAUGACAGUGUCAAGAAGAAGGUGGUAGAGCUCAGUGUGCAAUCAGGAGUGAGCAGUGCCUUUACUGCCUUUAUCGCAGUCAACAAAGGCAAUGGCAAAGCCAUACAGGGACCACUGGAGCGCAGGAAUGUUCCAGCACCCAGUGAGUAUUUCAUAGACACUUAAAUUAAAAAUAUGGCUGCUAACAUCAUAGAGAAGAGUAGAGCUCUAAGAUUUAGAAAAAGUAACUAUUUAUAAUUCUACAAAUGAGUUUCAUAACUGCAGAUAGGAUUACACACUUAAAUUAAAAAUUUCGAUCAGCUAGAAUUGACUUUGGCUGAUAUUUUCUCAAGUAAAGUUUCUCAUAAUUGCUAAACCUAAUACUGUUUUGUCAUCUCAGUAUUAAAGUGCAGUGGAUGGCAAUCUUAUGACUCCUUCUCCAUGCCCAUGUUGUGCCAGAGUAAGUAAAAGAUCAAAUUCUUGUUGGCACAUCCUUAUGUUACAUCUUGACCUUCUAAGAUUGUCCUUCUAAACUCUCAGAUAGUCCCUGUAACCUCAGGAGCCUUAAAUCAUGCGCUAUAGAUUUCUGUGACAACUCUCUUGACUGUAAGUAAUUUAAUGAUUAUUAAACCCCAUACAUAUAUAUACAUAUAUAUAUAUAUAUAUAUAUAUAUAUGUAUAUAUAAAUAUGUAUAUGCAUAUAUGUGUGUGUGUGUAUAUGUAUGUAUAUGUAUAUGUAUAUAUGUAUAUAUAUGUAUAUGUGUAACUAUAUAUGUGUAUAUGUAUAUAUAUGUACAGUACAGGCCAAAAGUUUGGACACACCUUCUCAUUCAAUGCAUUUUCUUUGUUUUCAUUACUAUUUAAAUUGUAGAUUUUCAAAACUAUGAAUGAACACAUGUGGAAUCAUGUGCUUAAGAAAAAAGUGUGAAAUAACUGAAAACAUGUUUUAUAUUUUAGAUUUCUCAAAGUAGCCACUCUUUGCUUUUUUGAUAGCGCUGCAAACUUUUGCUGUUCUCUCAAUGAGCUUCAUCAGGUAGUCACCUGAAAUGGUUUUUACUUCACAGGAGUGCCUGAAGUAACCCUUACAAGGUACUUCUGUCAUCAAGAGCAAAGAGUGGCUAUUUUAAAGAAACUAGAAUAUAAAACAUGUUUUCAGUUAUUUCACACUUUUUUUAUAAGUACAAAAUUCUACAUGUGUUCAUUCAUAGUUUUAAUGCCUUCAGUGAUAAUCUACAAUGUAAAUAGUCAUAUAAAAAAAUAAAGAAAAGACAUUGAAUGAGAAGGUGUGUCCAAACUUUUGGCCUGUACUGUAUAUGUGUAUAUAUAUGUAUAUAUAUGUAAUUAUGUAAUUAUAUAUAUCUAUAUAUAUCUAUAUCUAUAUAUAUAUUUAUAUAUAUAUAUAUAUAUAUAUAUAUGCUCAAUUGAAUGUUUGUUUUGUGAAUUUUAUGAAUUUUGUGACGCCUUGUCCAGUCCCAUAUUAUGUCAAGGUAAGUAAGAGAUAAAAUUCUUUUUGGUGUAUCCUUAUGUUGCAUCUUGACCUUCUAAGAUUGUCUUUCUUAAGUCUCAGGUAUUCCUAGUAACAUGGAUACAUUAAGUAUACAGUCCUAUGAAAGAUCAUCAAGCAGUAAGUGUAAGUAAAAAUUGUAUGAUUUUGAAACCCCAAACUUUUUAUUAUGUAUGUAUGCAUAUAUAUAUAUAUAUAUAUAUAUAUAUAUAUAUAUAUAUAUAUAUAUAUAUAUAUUCCUUAUGCAACGCUGUGGCUAAAAAAAGCCACUUGGGACAAAAUUUAGCCACUAAUUUAUAUGUAACUUUUUUUUACUGCAGCAAAUGGGAUGAUUUUUUGUGCAGAUGCCUAUAUUGAUGGACACUUUGAAAAUAUGACUUCAAAAAUACACGCUCGGCAAAUUUUCAUCCUUUGUUAACGUUCAGUGGCCUUAAAAAAGCCACUAACUUUGACUGCUGUAAAAACAUCUUGGGUUAAUAUUUUUUUCCAUUUUUUUUCACAUAUCUCUUAAUUAACUUCUGCUUUGAUCAAAACUAGUAAAUGUUUCAUCUAAAAACAUUUUUUUUAACCCUUUGAGGGUCCAUUCAAAGCAUAAUGUCACUGAUAUGGUAGAAAAAUACACAAAAAUGACCUAUUUUCAUCAUAAAACAAUCAGAAACAGGUGAUUUUUUACAUGUUGCAUAGUCUUGGCCUUGUGAAGGAUUAGGAACCUCAGAAACUAUGAUGCAUUUUUGUGUAAUGUCUGAUUUUCAUAGAAAAUUUCAUAAAACACUCAUAAAAACACUUGCACUAUUCAUGUACACUGUGUGCACAAUUAUUAGACAAGUUGUAUUUUUGAGGAUAAAUUUUAUUUUUGAACAACUGCAGUGCUCUCGGUCAAUCCAAAAUGUUAAUAAACCUCAAACCUUAAUAUUUAAGGGAGUAAAAGUGAGAUUUUGGCUUCCUUAGGAGAAUUUCUAUGUGUGCACAAUUAUUAGGGGCAGCUAUUAGUGUGCAGAAUUAUUAUGCAACUAAAUUAAAAAUAAAAAAAAUUCCAUUUCACUUGUUUAUUUUCACUUGUUAAAGUGAGAAUGAUAAACAAACAACUCAAUUUACAAAUAAAAGCUGUUGAAAUUAAAAAAAAAAAACAGUGACCAAUGUAACUACCCUUCUUUUCAUUAACAGUCAUAAGCCUUCCAUUCAUGGAAUCUUUCAGUUUCUUGAUCUGUUGACGAUCAACUUUUUGUGUUGCAGUAACCAAAGCCUUCCAGACACUGUUCAGAGAGGUGUACUUUCUUCCUUCACUGUAAAUUUCCCUUUUAAGAAGGGCUCACAAGUUCUCAACAGGGUUUAGGUCAGGUGAAGAAGGAGGCCGCGUCAUUAUUCUUUCAUUUUUAAAGCCUUUACUGGCGAGCCACAUUGUGGAGUACUUUGUUGCAUGCAAUGGAGCAUUGUCCUGCAUAAAAAUCAUGGUUUUCUUGAAAGAUGCAGACUUUUGCCUGUACCACUGCUUGAAGAAAGUGUCUUCUAAAAACUGGCAGUGGAUUUGGGAGUUGAUUUUAAGUCCAUCUUUAACUCGAAAAGGUCCAGCUAGCCCAUCUUUAAUAAUACCAGCCCAUACCAGUACCCAGCCUCCACCUUGCUGGUGUCUGAUUCGAAGUGGAGCUCUGUGCCCAUUACUGAUCCAGCCACGGGUCCAUCCAUCCGGUCCGUCAAGAGUCACUCUCAUCCCAUCAGUCCAUAAAACCUUUGAAAAAUCUCUCUUCAGAUAUUUCUUGGCCAAGUCUUGACGUUUCAACUUGUGUCUUGUUCAGUGGUGGUCGGGUUUCAGCCUUCCUUACCUUGGCCAUGUCUCUGAGCACUGAUCAUCUUGUACCUCUGGGCAUUCCAGGUAGGUUGCAGUUCUGGAAUAUGACAGCACCGGAGGAUAAGCGGUUCCUGGUAGCUUCAUGUUUGAGUCUUCUCAAAUCUUUGGCAGUUAAUUCGCGUCUUUUUUUCUUAACACAUUUCUUGCGACCCUGUUGACGAUUUGCAUCAAAAUGUUUGCUGGUUCUGUGAUCACGCCCAAAUAUCUAAGCAAUUUCAAGAGUGCUGCAUCCCUCUGAAAGACUUUUUACAAUUUUUGACUUUUCAGAGUCAUUUAAAUCUCUUUUUUGGCCCAUUUUCCCUGAGGAAAAGAAGCUGCCUAAUAAUUAUGCACACCUUGAUAUAGGGUUUUGAUCUCCUUAGGCCCCAGCCUCCCUCAUUACACUAAUACACAUUACCUGAUAUGCUUAUAUCCAAUAAGCAUUCAAGUUUAUACAGCUUGGAGUUGGAAAAUAUGCAUAAAAAUGAUGAUAUGAUUAAAAUAUUCACUUGCCUAAUAAUUGUGCAUACAGUGUAUUUUCUAUACUCGUAUACUCGCAUUCUCUUUCGUUACCAGCUUGGUAGUAAUGUGCUGAGCCAGAACUCAGGUCUGUGUGUGUGUGUGUGUGUGUGUGUGUGUGUGUGUGUGUGUGUGUGUGUGUGUGUGUUCAGCGUUUGAAGCAAGACCUGCAAGAGAUCACUCUGUGUUCAUGCCAGAUGUGUUUCACACAUAACUCACAGGUUUUGUUAGUUCUUUUUGACACCAAAGCCGUUCCCAGGUCCUCCAGGAAAAGCCUCCUCCUGAAUCAGUUUUUCUGGUUCCAGGAGAGAUCCACAUCCCACAGCGAGGCAGUAGAUUCACCCCUCGAACAAAACAGGCCAGACAAUGAUGAUGGAUCCUGUGGGGGGUCAGAUUCCAUCCCAUCAGAAUCAAUGACCAUUGCAAGGGCCUCCGUGGUGCUGAAGCUUCUCUUCGUGCUUUCUCUUGCUCUUCUCAUGAGAAAAUGGUCAUUAGAAUCUGCAAGUUGUGGAUUGCAGGGGUGGAGCCAGGGUUGGGGCCCCCGAAGAUCAAAAGGCCAGAUAGCAGGUUUAUAAACACCUCCAGACAUAACAGCUCACUUUUGUUUUUGUUUAUUUUUUUCCACCUCUCUGUACUUCUGAGAGCUGAAGAACAUAGUUUACUUUUGUGGCCAGGUCAGUGCUGGGUCAUGACCUGCAGGCUCCUCCCCUCUCUCUCUCACAUGCACACACUCACAUGCACGCAUGCACACACGCACGCACGCAAACACCCAUUUUUUGGGGCUUCCGAUUUUGUCUGGCCUGUUUGGAAACACAUCUGGCAUGAACACAGAGAGAUCUCCUGCCGGUCUUGCUUCAAACAUUGAAAACACACACACACACACACACACACACACACACACACACACACACACACACACACACACACACACACACACACACACACACACACACACACACACACACACACACACACACAUUUACAUUUUUUCUCUCUUUACUCACUCAAUUUCUCACACAUUCACUCGCUUAGGCUUCCCAGGUUUCUUUCAAUCCUCUCCCCCGCUUCACCCCCAAAAGUUAGUUGUUUGUUCUGGUUUGAUACUCUGUUGUUGUAUAUUUGUGGCUUUUGUUUUAUUGCAUUUUGAGCGAUAAAGUAUGGUUUGGUUCUAAUGUUACAUUGGUUAAAUUUUUUCAUUACUUCCACCUGCUGGUAUGCAAAAAAAAAAUGCGAGUAUAUAAAAGACAUGAGUAGUGUAAGUGUAAUUUUUUUUUAUGACAACCAGAUGUUACACAAAAAUGUAUCAAGGUUUCUGAGGUUCCUAAUCCUUAACAAGGCCAAGAUUAUGCAACACAUUAAAAAUGGGCUAUUUCUGAUUAUGAAAAUAGGUCAUUUUUGUGCAUCUUUGUACCAUAUCAGUGGCGUUAUGUUUUGAAUGGACUCUCAAAGGGUUAAAAAAAUGUUUUGAGAUGAAAAAUGUACUAUAGUGGGGUGCCUGGACACUCAGUCAUUUCAAAUUCGUGUAAAAGUUUAUUUUUCACUUCCAGUUUGUAUAUUAUGGUCUAUAGAACAAUUUUGGUUCGAGUGUCAAGAAACCAGAUUGAAGAAAGAUAUGUUUUUUGCCCUAUUUCCAAAAUGGCCAAAAUCGGAAUUAUGUUUUUUGAAUAAUGUCUUGGUUUUCCCACAAUUGCUCUGUAAUUUUUGUUUUUGUGCUAGAUUAUGUCAAUACUGUGUGAGGAAUCAAUUGGAAUUCAAAUAUUUAUGUUUUAAAUAUUUUUGGUAUUAUAUAUUUCACUCAAAUGAGACAAAACAGUAAAUAGUGAGCUAAAACAUUUAUUACACAAUAAUACAAACUGUACUUAUGUUUUAACUGUACCACAACAUGGUGCCAUUAGCUUUAACAACUGGUCAUACAUUAUUUUACAAAAGAAAAAGAAACCUAUUAUAUACACAAUCUUGGAAAUAUGCUCCGGUGAAGCUAUUUUUCACAUUUACUCUUGCAAAGACGGGUGCACUUAAGUUUUGCUUUCACACAACUACACCGAGUGCAGGUUGGAACACAAGGGCUUUUGCAAUUGCACUUCACAUCCAACUUUAAUAUGUCCUUGGCGAGGGGUAGAGUGGUCCAAAUGGGAAGCAGUUUCCCGUCCUCCUCCUUCCAGCCAUGAUCAGUGGGGCUGUGGAUGGGCAUCAUGGACCUGAAUGAAAGAAAGAAUGAAUUAAUAAUUUGAUUGAUUGAUGGAUUGAUUGAUAAUCAAUCAAUUCUUUCAUUAGUUAGUUAAUUAGUCAAAUUGACAUGGUACACAAAUUCAUGGAGAAACAUAUACAUACAUAUGGGCUGUCGUCCAGAUGCUUGCUUGGAAGACGCUCCUUUUCAGAUGUUGAUCCAAAGCAUCACUAGUUGGGGGAAUUCUCUCCAUGUCCCUUGUUUUCUUUGAGAAUUGCAUCAUUCGCACACGAUCAACAUCAUUGCCCUCGUGUGUGUCAUCAGUGUACAGCCUACAGACAAAGUUUGUCCCCGCUUCUUUCAGCCUUGGAGAUGCUUUAUAUGGAGUGUCAACAAGAGUUGAAAAUUCCUCCAUGAGGGAUGGCACUUUGGGCAUCACCUUGCAGCAGGAUCACUUACCCUUGAAUUUGAAUGCCGAUGUGCUGUCUGAGCCAGUGAAUGCAUGGAAGAGAGCCAUGCCCUUGCAUGUAGUCAUGCCCAGGUUUGUAGCGAUGGUAUUCAGUGAAAUCAUUCUAGUUGUCUUUCCAGCUUUGAAGGAGAUCCAGACUUCCGCUGCUGCAUUCAGCACUACAACAACAUCUGUGUCUCCAGUAUGCACCAUCCCAAGUGAAGAUGUUUGGAGGGCGUGGAGAAGAUGUAUUAGGACACGAGUGUCAGCUUCCUCAUGGUUGCAUUGAUCCAUUGGUGGGCCAUCUCCAAUGUGGUGGACUUGAUCACCCGCAGUAAUGUAGACAUCCAUGUCAUCUGGAAACUGUGCAUCUGUUAACAACUUAUUUGACAGGAAUGAGAACAGCUCCUUCUUGUUGUCAAUGUUUGCCAGAAACUUUUGCCAAUUCGCCGGGAUUUUGGCAGUACCAGAUACACGUUGUCGGGUGCCUGUUCCUUGUUUUUCCCUUGUGCCUCCUUUGAUUGUUAGAUCACGAUACUGGUCCCAGACUAUGUCAACUCUCGCUGAUCGUUUCAAGUCAUGGUGAACUCUUGGGCAGAAUACCUUGUCGAAAUAGGAAUCAAAGUUCUUCCCAACGACAGUUGUACCAGGAAGUGAAUGUAUCAGUACUCCACCAUCAAUAACAAUGAAGUCGUAAACACUUGGUGCAACUAACUCCUCCUCAACAGAAAUCUCGGUACUCGAACUGGCUUCCAUAAUAUAUACCAACAAAUCUGACUUGGUACAAGAGUUGAGGGCUCCCUCAAAUGACAAUGCAGGUGGAUUCAUAGAGGAAAAAACCCUCCAAAUCUCCCCCACGGCUGUCCAGCACAAUAAAAGCUUUCCCAUAGAGCUCUGCAUGAUGUUUAAAGUGCUGCAUUUUCAGCUUAAUCGCUGUCUUCCUCGGUGCUUUCUUCUCAUGGAACAACAAUAAGUUGUUUCGCUUGAUCGAUGCUGUCAGAAGUGUGUCAUGUGAUUCAAGAACACUUUUCCUGUACUUGUUGUACUGCUCUUGUCCUGUAGACUCAAGUUGAUGGACAGAUACGGCAGCAGCCGCAGACUCACACAUCUUGUUGUCUAAUGUAACCAGGUCAUUACUGCCCUCCUCAAAUGGAUUUCCAAUGCUCAGCAAAUCCUCCAUCAGGUCUUUGACAUGGCGUUGAAAUCGAUGUUGAGAUGCAGGGCCUUCCUCAUGAUGAGGAAGUUCUUCCCUAUCAUCAUUGUAGUUUGUAGUGGUAAACUCCUCCAUGACACGGCUGAUUUCUGGGCCAGUCACGAUCCAGCGUUCCAACAUGCCAGGGUUUUCUGUCAGACCAAUUACACCACCAACCCCUUUCACCCUUUUGUUGGCUUGCUCGUGUGCCUGAUCGAUUGGUAUGGAUGAGAAACGGCGAUUGCUUAGAGUUAUUGUCCAGUGUCCAUCCUCAAACUCUGCCUUGAUGCUAUCUGGGAGACGUUCCAUGUCUCUGAUUAAGACUGGAAGCCACCCCGGGUAAUUCUGGUGAUCAAGAGCAAAGAACAAAGGCACAAGCAUCCGUAGAGUAGUGACCAUGAAGUUGAACUUUCAUUCACGAUGUGCCCGGAUAAACCUGAAGAUCAGGCAAAAAACAUAUCUUUCUUCAAUCUGGUUUCUUGACACUUAAACCAAAAUUGUUUUAUAGACCAUAAUCUACAAAUUGGAAGUGAAAAAUAAACUUUUACACGAAUUUGAAAUGAAAAAUUAAAAUUACAUAUACACAGAACCCCACUACUACUUUCGAUCAGGGCAGAGUUAAUUGAGAGAUGUGUGAAAAAAAAUCUGGAAAAAAUAUGAAUCUAAUAUGUUUUGACAGCAGUCAAUGUCAGUGGCUUUUUUAGCCACUGAGCGUUAAGAGGGGAUGUCUUUUGGAAAUCUGAUCCUACAAAAAAAAACUUAAAAGGCAUCAAAGUCAAUGAUAUUACUUAUCCUUUACAUAUUCAAGACUAUAAUACCCUGCAAGAGAUAUCCAGUUUCAGAUUAUGUUUUCUAAUAAAAAUCAGUCAUUUUCCUCCCAUUUUUUCCCAAUAUUAGUGACUUUAUGUUUUAAAUUGUCCUUUAAAGGGUUAAAAUUUUGAUUUUUAAUGACACAUUUACUAGUUUUGAAUAGAGCAGAAGUAAAUUAAGAGAUGUGUGAAAAAAAAUCUGGAAAAAAUAUGAAUGUCAGUGGCUUUUUUAGCCACUGAGCGUUAAAAAAGUAAGUUAAUCUAAUGGUUACACAAGGAAUAUAUAUAUAUAUAUAUAUAUAUAUAUAUAUAUAUAUAUAUAUAUAUAUAUAUAUAUAUAUAUGUAUAUAUGAAUAUGUAUAUAUAUAUAUUUAUAUGUAUAUAUAUGUGUUUAUAUGUAUAUAUGUGUAUAUAUAUGUAUAUAUAAAUAUAUGUGUAUAUAUAUAUAUAUACACGAAUAUGUAUAUAUAUAUAAAUAUAUACACAUACAUACAUAUAUACAUAUACAUAUAUAUAUAUAUAUAUAUAUAUAUAUAUAUAUAUAUUGCUUAUAAAUAUAUUGCUCAUAUAUGUAUGAGCAAUAAGUCUUCAACAAUGCUUAAUUGAAUGUUUGUUUUGUCUGUGUCUGUGUCUGUGAAUCAAACAACUAUUCAGUUUGUUUGCACUUAGCCAGCCAUCACUGAAAAUCUGUACUAACUAGCAUUUUUCAGACUAGUCAUUUGAAAUUGAUUUUGGGGAUACUUCGUUUUCUUGAUCAGGAUGCACUUGCUGUUGGAUUUUUUAAAAUAACUUUGUGCCCUCAUUUUCACUGUGUGGAUGGUAACCCUGUUCUUAUCUUAGUACCUCUGUUACAAAGAAGGAGUAUUUUAACAAAAUGCUCUUUGUGUGUGUAGUUUUUAUUAUGAUAUUGUUGGUUUUCUAUCUACCAUUGCUAGUUUUAUAUAUCUCAGUCUGUUUUUUUCUACUCUCUCAACAGCCAAAAAGAAAACAACUAAAUCUUUCAAACCUGGGCUCUUUUCAUGGAAAGGAAAGAAACAGAAGGUUGUCCAAUCAGGUAAAAAAAUCUCUGCAGACUGAUGCAGCAUAUCUGCACAACAGUGUCAAAGAGACAACAGUGGAAACAAUGAAUGCUUCAAAUGCAUAUCAAUUCCACAAAGACUGUUUUUUUAUCUUUGCAUACUAAUUUCCUUUGUCAGAUGUCCCUGAGACAUCUCCUCUGCCCACCAUGGACCCUUUGCUUCACUUGGUCUCCCUUCAGAAGGCAUCUGGCUGCUGGGACCUUAGUCCAGCUUUGGCUACAGCACUUGGCAAGACUAGUGAAGAGUUGAAAAAGCCAAAGCCUGCAUCGGUCUGUUAUUUUUAAAACAACAUUUGAAAUGUUGUAAGGGACUGAGUGUGAAUAAGAUUUCAUAAUCUAUUGCCUGCAAGAUCUUCAUCUCUCUAAUUUUGCUACUAAGGUGAAUAUGGAAAUAUGGGCCACUGUGCUGUCUCUGAUCUGGCUUCAUGGUUUCAAGAUGGACGUCAGGGAAGAGUGGGAGCUCCUGGCUAUGAAGGCUGUGUCAUGGCUCCGUGCCCAGAACUGUAAGAGCACUGAUAAACAUACAGAGCAUCUGGAAAGUAUUCAUAGUGCUACACUUUUUUUCACAUUUACCUUUAAAUUUGACACACAAUUACCCAUAAUGACAAAGUGAAAAAGUUUGUCUGAAACUCUUGCAAAUUGAUUGAAAGUUACAACUGAAAUAAAACAUGUACGUAAGUAUUCACAGUGUUUGCUCAGUACUUGGUCGAUUUACUUUUGGCAGCAAUUUCAGCCUCAAGUCUUUUUGAGUAUGAUGCCACAAGCUCGGCACACCUAUUUUUGGGCAGGUUCUCCCAUCCGUUUUUGGCAGAACCUCUCAAGCUAUACCAAGUUGGAUGGAGAGCAUUAGUGUACAGCCAUUUUCAGAUCUCUCCAGAGAUGUUCAAUUGGGUUCAAGUCUGGGCUCUGGUUGGCCACUCAAGGACUUUCACAGAGUUGUCCUGAAGCCACUACUUUGUUAUCUCAGCUGUGUGCGUAGGGUGUUUGUCCUGUUGAAAGAUGACUAUUCGCCCCAAUCCAAGGUCCAGAGUACUCUGGAGCAUGUUAUCAUUAAGGAUGUCUCUGUACAUUGCUGCAUUCAUCUUUCCCUUGACCCUGACUGGUCUUCCAGUUCCUGCUACUAAAAAACAUCACCACAGCAUGAUGCUGCCACCACCAUGCUUCACUGUAGGGAUGGUAUUGGAAAGGUGAUGAGUGGUGCGUGAUUUCCUCCAAACAUGACACUUGGAAAUUCAGGCCACAGAGUUCAGUCUUUGUGACACAUGAAAAUAAUUCUAAAUAAAACAGUAACACAAGAAAAUGUAAAAAAAAAAAAAAAGAAAGAAAAAGAAAAAGAAGUCUAGCUCUGUGAAUACUUUUCGGACACAUUGUAGAUAAAAUGUUGAGUGUGUGCACAGUUUAAAAUAAUCUUUUUGAUCACAUUCAAACCUCUGAUUGAUUUUUUUGUUUGUUUUAUUUUCAGCAUCAGGUCUAAAUGAGUGUGUGGAUGCUGGAAACGCACUCUUGGGCUGCAACGUCAAAAAAGACUCUCUGGGGUUCUGAGGUACUGACACAUGACUUCAAGAAUGGCGCAGAAUGAAGCCAUCCUAUAAUUACAGAUAAGUCAAUCCUAUAGCCUGUACUUGAUCAGCAUUAAACCAUAGUAUCUACACACCUGAAGGUGAUGUACAGUAGGUCCUUUGAUUAAUACUGCCUGCUGUCUAAUGUCUUCUGCUUUUUGAAUAAGCAAAGUGAGGCUUUUACUUUUCCUAAAAUGACAUUACUGAUAAAAAUGUCUACAGUGUGUGUUCUGUUGAGUACGUUAUUCGAUCUGUAGGGUGGUUUUAGACUUAUUUGAAACAUUAAAAUGUUUGAUGUAGGAAAGAGGCCUUUUGAAUACACAGUAGAUAUGAAGGACAACAUGCAAAGUGAAACUCAUUUUAAGUACUUAAACAAAACAGAGUUCACCCCAAAGCUCAGCCAAUCAUCCCAGUGGGGGUCAUCAUAAUACAUGAGUGCACUGCAAAAUGUGGGGUGUUAACAUUAAAUGAAGUGUUGCCUUUUUUUUUUUGGUUUUUUUUUUUGUUUGCAGUUUUUGCUAAUAAUUGUGGACAUAUUUCAUGUACAAAAACCCUUCCAAAUGUUGACAUAAAAAUAAUACAUGGAAAUUAAACCUUAAUAAAUGCUGUAAAGCAAGAUAAGCCUAAAAAUGAUCAAUUACACCAAGAUAAAGUAUUUCAUCAGUUCAGCAUGUCUACAUUAAAUUAAUUUUAAUUGUGGUGUCUUGCUUUUUAUGUAUAAAUUAAGGAAAAUCAAGAUUUUUGUCUUCGUCUGAUUUUUGAAAUUUUUAAGAAAAGUGCUUGUUUGUGUCAUGCAUUGUAGUCGGCUAACCAUACAACUUACAAUAAAGUUUGUGGCAAAAAUGCAGCCUCUCACAACUGACCUGUGUGGUUUGUCUCUUUUUGACUUGUGGACAAGUUUGUGAAUACAGUUUAACUGUAUAUGAAGGAAGUGAUUAGAUGGUUAAAUGUCAUUUUAGAAUUUCAAACAUAGCUGUUUUGGCUUUAGGUAGAAUUGGAAAUGACAAAAAACCUUUUGCUUAAUUUCUUUGCUUCUUCAUCCAUGAAUUCUUGUAGAAAGUAUUUUCUCUUCAGCUGAGUAGGAUAAUAAUGUGUUGAUGAAGUAGUAUAACAACACAACUUCCUCAACUCCUUCACUUCCUUAACAACCAUGAUCACACGUCACAGCACUAACCAAUCAGGGGCUAGGAACUCAAGGUAAAUGUGAAUGAACCACAGAAGCAUAAUAACAAUAGCACCGUGUUUGACUAUUUUCUGUCAAAAACAAACUUAAUGGCCUCAGCAAUACAGUCACCAUAGAGUCCAACAGCUAAGAGGCAGGAGCUCAAGUCCCUUUGAGCUCUAUCUGUAUAUGUGCCAGCUGGCCUGCACUGUAGUUAUACAACCAACUGCUCCAUCUGAGAGACAUACGUCUGCUAUAGGGUGUCUAAAAAGAUGUUAAUAGAUCCUUAUAACUACUUAACCAACAAAAUAAAAAAAACAUACAAACAAAAAACACACUUGAAACAUACCAGUCUGUAUUUAAUGAAUCUAUAUGAUCAAUGAAUCACACUUUUUGAAUUGAAUUAUUGAAAUCGAUUACACUUUUGACAAAACUCUUGUUUGAGCUGCACCUGCAUUUGUGUGACACAUUAGCACCCUCUGCUGUACGAAGAGAGCGAGAGAGGUGCUCACACCAUUCUUGGGACAAAUGCAAGUUGGAUCAGAGCCCCUCUGGUUGGCUAGUUUCAAGCAAGCAAACUCUGAUAGGCUAUUUGAUGUAGACAGGACCUCUUUUUUUUGCUGUGUUUUAACAGUUACUUUUAAAAUGGCUGUGGGGGCACACAAAAUCAGGC